GAGUCCAUUUAACAGUUUUGGGCCCAGGCCCACCGUGAAUGAUGCGAAACUGGACAUGGGCCGUCUUACUCUAAUUUUGGGACCUAAUUACAUUAUGCUACACAUGUUCGAGAUUUACAAUGGGACAGCAAUGGAAUCAAUAGCCAAUGAAACCUAUUUUAUGAAUCUAAAUAAACAAAUUGUUAACUAAAGAGUUUAAACUACUGAUUACUUGACUUAAAACUUGAUAUGCAUUUAAAAUUGGUUAUAAGCGAAAUAAGCUGGAGGGGGCAGGAUAUUUCUACUGCAUCAUGAGUUCUUUUCUAGCUAACAUACAUAAGAGAUUUGUUCACCAAACUACUGUCAAGGAUUCCAUUAUAUACAUACAGAAUACAACUAAGAUAAAUGUAAAACUUCAGUUCUUCAUUUAUAUUUCAUGCUUCAAGUUCAGCCUACAAGUGUACUAGCGUAGCAAUGUCUACCUGGUAUUUGGAAAAGCAAAGAAAGAGAAGGAAGAUCAGUGAUGGCAGCAGUAGCACAAUGAACAAUGCAACAGAAUUCAAGUUCAGCCUACAAGUGUACCAGUAUAGAAAUAUGUACUUGGUAUUUGGAAAAGAAAAGAAAGAGAAGGAAGAUCAGUGAUGGCACCAGUAGCACAAUGAACACAACAACAGAUUCAGCAACACCAGUAGUAGACCAAUAACAGUAGGAGGAGCAGAUUGAAAACCAAAUAGAAAGAAUCCAAGAAACCAAUGCAACAGUGUUUGAAUCCCAAUAGAAAAGGCUAGCAACACCAAAUGGAUAAAAAUAAGUCCAGAAGAUAAAUACCAGCAGAAAACCCAAGAUAUAUCACACUAAACACCCAGCAACACUCCAGAUGCGCUCACAAUUAAGUGAAAAGUAAGGCAGAUGCAAGGACAAUAUUUAUGAUUGUAAAUACUCGAAGAAAACCCACCGAAACCUUUAAGAACAACUCAUCCUAUAUCAUUCUUUAAUUUUGGAAAUUUAGUUCAACUUUAAACCUCACUCUCUAUUUAUUUCUCUGAAAAGUCUUUUAACCUUUCUGAUUUUUCAAAGGACUUCCCUUAAAACUGUUCUGGAAUACCUCUUAUAUAGCCAAACUGAACUCACCUUGCACCCUGUUGAAAACCUUUUAAAAAACUGAUUAUUCCCACUUAAUAUGUCUAGGCAUGAAACUCUUAUUUUCAAAUUUCUGGAAAUCAGAAUGUAGUGGAAGUCCUACUGUACAGUAGGUUCCAUUACCAUUCUAAUGUGCAUUUCAUCUUUUUAACAUUAAACUCAUCUAAUGGUCCAACACAUGCUUAACUCACAGCCCACUUAGACUAAACUCUAAAAAUUUCUGUUAAAAUUGCAGCUAGAUUCCAUUUCCUAAGUUUGGCUAUAACCAAUUCAAACCUAAAUUCAGCUGUAAACCGUGAAGACUUUAAUUCAAACAAUAACUCGGACCAAAUCAGGUAGUAUUAAUAAUACUAUUGUCAACAUUAAUCUAGCAAUCAAACCUAUACAGCCAAUCGACGACAUUUAUCUAUUCGAUUACAACACAUAUAAUCGAUAACAAAUAAUCGACUCAAAAACAGUGUGAUUCAUAGCAUUCGGACAAAACAGGGGAUUAUGAAACUAAUGAUUCGACGAUAUUAAUCGAGUCGAAUAUGUAGUUUACAAAGACCACAAUCAACAACAAACAGAAUAAAACUAACCAAAAAAGGUCUUUGGCAGAAGAACAAGAACACUUGGAAAAAAUUGAAAACAAAUUGAUACAAUGAAUCUAAACAAAUAACAGACAUAGGAACAUCAAAGAAAUAGAAGAAAAGGGAAAAUAAAUACCUCAAAAGUGAACAGGGAAAAGACGAUGCCGGACCAAACGGAUUUUGAACUUUUGAGGCCAAACAGACUUUAAUUGAGUGUUCUCAACUGAGAACACAUUGACUAAAGUCCAUUGAACAACCAAAAACUCUUCAAUUCAGACAAAAUCCAGGUUCGACUUUUUAGGGUUCUUUGGCUCGGAUUUGGGGUUCGAGUGGUUUGGGUUUGAUUCGAACCAAAACAACAAUGGUUUGGUGAUGAGGGACUCUAGAGAAGGCUAUGGUGUGAGUUUGGGACCGACUGGGAUUGGUUCGAGUUUUGCUCGAAUCUUCAAAUGAAGAUUCGAGAAACUCCAGGUUGAUUCGAGGUAAGAUGAUGGUGGAUUUGGAGAGAAGGGAUCAGGGUGGUUCAGGGGUGUAAGUUUGGUUGCUGGCGGCGUUGUUCCGCUGGGUUUCAAGUUAGAGGGUUUGAUGGUGGCUAGGAUAUCAAAGGGAUGGGUUUGGUUGGUCUCUGAGGUUAGAGACUGAAGGGGAAAUGGCUAGGGGGUGGG
rnacentral:lncRNA from 1 species